rnacentral:rRNA from 1 species
GCUUUACUGUAGCCUGGUAUUGGGUUCGGGCUUUGUUUGCGCAGGAUAGGUGGGAGGCUGUGAGAUUGCCCUUGUGGGGGCAGUGGAGCCAACGGUGAGAUACCACUCUAACAAAGCUAGAAUUCUAACCCUCUGCCGUCAUCCGGCGAAGGAACAGUAUCAGGUGGGCAGUUUGACUGGGGCGGUCGCCUCCUAAAAGGUAACGGAGGCGCGCAAAGGUUCUCUCAAGCUGGUUGGAAAUCAGCUAUUAGAGUGUAAAGGCAUAAGGGAGCUUGACUGCAAGACUGACAAGUCGAAGCAGGGACGAAAGUCGGCUUAGUGAUCCGACGGCGCUGCGUGGAAAGGCCGUCGCUCAAACGGAUAAAAGUUA